rnacentral:rRNA from 1 species
AUUGAACGCUAGCGGCAGGCCUAACACAUGCAAGUCGAACGAGUGGCGGACGGGUGAGUAAUGUCUGGGAAACUGCCCGAUGGAGGGGGAUAACUACUGGAAACUGUAGCUAAUACCGCAUACCAUCGGAUGUGCCCAGAUGGGAUUAGCUAGUAGGUGGGGUAAAGGCUCAACAAGGCAACGAUCCCUAGCUGGUCUGAGAGGAUGACCAGCCACACGGGAACUGAGACACGGUCCAGACUCCUACGGGAGGAAGCAGUGGGGAAUAUUGGACAAUGGGCGAAAGCCUGAUGCAGCCAUGCCGCGUGUAUGAAGAAGGCCUUCGGGUUGUAAAGUACUUUCAGCGAGGAAGCGUUACUCGCAGAAGAAGCACCGGCUAACUCCGUGCCAGCAGCCGCGGUAAUUC